UUAAGCUUCCAGUUUAUGUGCAGGAAGCAGAGGAGCAUAAAGUCCCAAUAACCACCACAUCUCAGUACACACGACACAGAACUCUACAUGGUUUGAUCCAGAAAUAUUUAAUUGAGGAGUUGAGAGGUAAUGUGGCCAUGGCUGAUUCCCAUAUUGGGUUUGAUUUUGUCAAAAUGUCUAAAUCUGGAAAAUGUCAGCACAACUUUAUGUUUUAUAAAUGCCUCUCAAAUGUAACAUAUUGUGUUAAUAAUAGCUCUACUGACUCUAUACAUGAGCCGAAACAUUGCUAUACCUUAUUCACCAAUAAAACCCACCUUUGUGGGAAGCUACCUGGUGUGCAUGAGAUCUCUUCUCUAUUGAACUCCUUGGGGAUUCCCCCCACCCCUUCAUGAAGCACCCUUGUGCAGAAUCCCACAACCUUGAAUGUGUGCACUCCCAAUUAGUUUUUAUUAAUUUUAGUAAUAUAUCAUGGCAGUAGACCAUAUCACAGAUAAUGUUUGGGGUCAGCUUUAUACAUUAAUCCUCAAUGUUUUAUCGAUAUGGUGUAUGGAUGCUGUUGAGGACUGGAUAUCACAGUAUCUGUUGAAUUCGGGUGAGGGUUCAUCCUAACAUAUACCUGGCACUGUCAUGAUUUAAAAUUAAACAGACAAAAGACCAAGGAUAUAAUGAUCUCCCAGUUUCAAUGCACCAUAUCACCACGAAAAUCAAAUCCUUGGGACUUUCUUUCCUUUACAGUAGAUAGUGGGAUAGAAUAGAAUGUGACCAUCUUUGGACGGAACCAUUCCACUUCAUUGGAACCGACAAUAAUUUAGAAUAUAGCUGUAUCUCUGCUUCAGUAAAAUUGAAAAUCCUUACAGUCACAAUCUGAUGUUUCUGUUUUUCUGUAGAAUCUGUCCAGUUAGAGGCACUGAAGGACUGAGGUUGCCUACCCCAGUGUAAAAUAUAAAAUGUGUUAAUUUUAAUUGCUUUUUAAAAUGGAUUAAAACAAUGUGUGGCCCAGUGUUGUUAACAGUUCAUAAAAGCCUGCUUUUCUUUGCCAGAGGUUGACAUUACUUUCCUAUUUUUAAUAUUUAUACCUGUGUUUACCCUUGAGAUUAUGGAAGGGGAAUGCUAAAUAUGCUGAAGUGAGCUGUGUGCAUGAGUCAAAUGUAAAAUGUCAUUUAGUGAUACACGAAUGUUGUUAGGAAGUUGACAUUUACCCUGCAGUAUAAAUGCUUGAUAAAAUAAAGACAAUACCAAUGUGUGAUGGAAAUGAGUAAAAAAAUAAAUUAGAUUUACUAACCAUUCCUUUAAAAAAAUAUAACUAUUAAACAGAGGCGGCUCUAGACUUUAUGAGGCCUUAGGCGAACUUCAAGCAUGAGGCCCCACUUACACCCAAAGUAUAAAAUAAUAGGGUUGUAUUUUGUAUAAGUGUAAGGAGCAUUUGCUAUAUCGAAAGGCGUGCUUGCAGCACUGGAUACAGAGAGUCAGUCUCUG